AACGAACGCUGGCGGCAGGCUUAACACAUGCAAGUCGAACGCCCCGCAAGGGGAGUGGCAGACGGGUGAGUAACGCGUGGGAACAUACCCUUUCCUGCGGAAUAGCUCUGGGAAACUGGAAUUAAUACCGCAUACGCCCUACGGGGGAAAGAUUUAUCGGGGAAGGACUGGCCCGCGUUGGAUUAGCUAGUUGGUGGGGUAAAGGCCUACCAAGGCGACGAUCCAUAGCUGGUCUGAGAGGAUGAUCAGCCACAUUGGGACUGAGACACGGCCCAAACUCCUACGGGAGGCAGCAGUGGGGAAUAUUGGACAAUGGGCGCAAGCCUGAUCCAGCCAUGCCGCGUGAGUGAUGAAGGCCUUAGGGUUGUAAAGCUCUUUCACCGAUGAAGAUAAUGACGGUAGUCGGAGAAGAAGCCCCGGCUAACUUCGUGCCAGCAGCCGCAGUAAAAC
rnacentral:rRNA from 1 species